GUUAUAUUCCCUUUAAAUCUCCCCUGAGUUCUGGACCUGUGUCUAUCAUCAUAAAAUACCAGAUCUUCAAUGGGUUUGCAAAGUGCUUCAGAACUGAGCGAAUAAUGGAAUCCCGUCUGCUCUGGAACCCCAGAGGUGUAGCAUAGCUCCUGCAGGAAUGUUCUGACUCUGCAGUCAUCAAUGCCACUGCAAAAGAAGCUUCCUUGCCCGUAGCAGCCGGCAGCAGCAUGGAGCAUGGAUCGUACACUUCCACAAGAUUUCCAGUUGUAGCAUGGACCAUGGAUAUUAACACGGUCUCUGUUGGCAGCAUGGACCAUGGACAUCAACCUGGUUUCCAGCAUCAACAAGAACCAUGGCCACUAACUCUGCCCCCAGUGGCAGCAAGGACCGAAAAAGUCUUUCGAGGACACUUAAGCCAAAAAACGAACCAUUCUCCAUCUUAGAUAUCUUGUUGUUGUUCAGAGUCUGGGGGCAGGACCUGUGAAAGCUCCAGGCUUUUGUACACCACCCAGUUCUGGGCUCCAGCAGCCCUGCUGGUACCCUGGGCACAGCCAUCAUGUUUGCAGCCAGUGGGCAGUCCCCAGGUUCCAAGCUCUCCUCCUCCCAGUACGACAAGCAGCAUGAGCAGCAGCAGCAGUGGCCCCAUGCCACUGAUCAGUCUUAUGGACCAAGCAGCAACACCCUGGCGGUCUGAGAGUUGGCCCUACUCAGCAACAACAUGCCCCCUUUCUGCCUUUCCCCAGCUAUGUAAGAUGAAAUGAGGUGGUGGGCUGUAGCCCAUGGGUCAGUUUGCCAUUGCCUGCAUCAGAGAUGGCUGAACAGUGUGCACAAGUGCAUGUGUGCUUGUAUGUUUCAGUGUGCAUGUGUCUCUGUUCAUGAUAUACAUACAUACAUACGUACAUACAUGAAGGCAUAAGGGUGUGAGGGCUAUGAUGGAAGAGACGGAUGGUUCUGGACAUUUGGGAGUGUGGGACUUGUGGAUGGCUGUGGUUUGGUGUGAGAUACAUGUGCUAAUGCCCAUGUUCUGCCUACACAGAAAAGCAGGCUACCAGAAUGCUCCCCACAGCUUGUCCAUGUUUCUAAUGAGAACUGCAGAGACCCAUUCUUUCUGGAACAUGCCCGCUCAGCCGUGGACACUCCCUGUAAGCCCACUCUAAGAAGCCUGAAGAUUUAGAUGACAUUUUCUCAUCACCUUCCAUUUAAGCUACCUGUGAAGCUCAUUGUUUCUGGGUGCCAUAAUUGGAUCUUGAACACCAACUCUUCAUCUCUUCUCCUGACCAUUGUUAUCUGUGAAACCAUGACAACAGCUUGGGUGGUGGUACUUUUUACAAGGCCACAGCCAAGUGCUUAUGCUCUUGAUUGCUGAAGUGUUUCCUCUCACUGUAGUCUCUACAGCUCUUGUUUACAGCAUAGAUUGGUGACAAAAUUGAUACUAACUCUAUGGAGCCUGCCAUUUAUUAGCCUAUUCAUUUUAACUGAAGUGUUAUAAUUUUUAAAAGUCUUUACAUGCUAUGGAUUAUGAAAGAAACCAUAAGACUGUGUGCCUCAGCUUGUAUCACCCAGCAGUCACAGCCAGUUGUUUCUGUCAUUCUCAGCUUUGGCCUGCUUCUUGUUUGCUCAAUUGUUUGGGGACAGGGUCUCUCACUUGCUGGAAAGUUACCAAGUAGAUUAGGCUUGCUCGACAGAGAACCACAGGGAUCUGCCUGCCUCUGCUUCCCUGGCACUGGAUUAUAACACAUACCAUCAUGACUGGCUUUUUAUAUGUAUUCUGGGAGUUGAACCCAGGUCCCCAUGCCAGUUUUUCCAAUUGAGCUAUCUCUUGAGCCUUCAAAUAGCAGUUUUAAAAACCAAACAUUCCAACCAAUACAAUUCACAAAUACUGAUUUGAUGUGUGUGGAGAUGGGAAGGUAGGAAAGUAUUAAGCGUCUUUCUCUGUAUUUAAAACACUAUGUUUUUUAUAAGAGUAGAAGCUCUAUGUGAUGCUAAGAACCAUUGUGAUUCAAAAUAAACAAUAGUCUCUAAUCUGAGGGGAAGGAUUCCAGAUAGGGUUCUUGCUUGUUGUAAGAACGUGCAUCGUGCAAAGGACUCAUGCUGCAUGUUCAGAGGGCACAGUAUAGUCACAGGACAACACAUGCAUGAGCCCCCAUGGGAACACUGUGGACUCUGAGUUUUAAUUAGCUUUGGUUAUUGUGCAAACAGAAACCUUUUACUACUACCCUAUUUUUCUUGACCCCCUUCCUGCCUUCAGUUAGGACUCCCUGUGGGCUUGUGACCCACACUGUCAGAAUCUGAGCCCUAGGACAUCCUCCCACUGGCAACACCUAAAGGUGCUCUACCUCUGAGCUCCACCACCAGCCUGCAGUGUAAAUUCAAUAAUUGCAUUUAUUGCUCCCCCAUUUUCAAUCUUAAAAUGCACACACCUGCUCCAUCUUCAACAAUGCACAGUAUUUCCUUAGCCAUACUUCGCACCACAACAUAAGAAGACAAAUGCUAAGAACAAAAGCAAGUGGCGUGCCCUUGCUUAGGGGCCUCACCUCGUGCAGACAGGCCAGGCAUCAUACGUGCUGUCAUUGUUUGAGUUUCAAGCCUCCCUGGAGACUUCACAUGAAGCCAAGGUGGAGAGCCACGUGUCAUGGACCACAGCUCCAAAUGAACAUUGAAGAGGAGGAGAAGAGUUAAUAACUGGAUGACCCCAAACCUCAUUACUGUCAGACCAGGGGAAUAUUACAAAUUACAAAUGAACUUCACAAAUGACAUUUCAAAGAUACCUCCUUAACCCAAUUCAAGUGCAUGCCAUUGUGAUUAGCUACAUACGCCCAUGAAUAAAGAUCUAAUUAUUGUAGCUAGACAAAUUAAAAUGUUUCUGGAGGCAGCAAUCUUUUCUUCCUUCCUUCCUGGGACAGAUGAGAAGGCUGGUCCUGUAGGAAGCAGGGGCUGACACGGAGCUAUUAAGCGGAAGGGCCUGACAAAGCUCCUUGUACUUGUCAUUUCUGAUGAACCCUGUCUUGAUUCAUUGAGUUGUCCUCUUGGAAACAGCAAUGAAAAAGUUUGUCAUCGGGUUACAUAAUGAGAUGCCUUUCAAAAAUAAAUGAAUAAUCUAGCAAAUACAUCAAAUAUGAUUAACUUUUAAGAGCAGUGUAGAAACAUAUCAGGAGCCAUCCCCCCAUUCACUUAGAACUAUGAUCUGUGUUCCUUUUCCUUGGGGUGUGUUUUCACUCACUCUUUAGCCAAGUGUGUUGCCUUUUGUACUGGCUGAUCUUGUGUGUGAACUUGACAUAAGCUAGAGUCAUCAGAGAGGAAGGAGCCUCAACUGAGGAAAUGCCUCCAUGAGAUUAAGCUAUAAGGCAUUUUCUCAAUUAGUGAUCAAUGGGGGUGGGCCCAGACCAUGAUGGGUGGUGCCAUCCCUGUGCUGCUGGUCCUGGGUUCUAUAUGAAGGUAGGCUGCAGACUGAUAGCUGAGAAACCAGCAUAGGACUGAUUCAGACCCCCUGAAUGUGGAUGUCAGUUUGGAGUUCUGGACAAUUUAUGGGGCCUCUGGUAGUGGAUCAGUAUUUAUCCCUAGUAUAUGAAUGGGCUUUGGGAGCCCAUUCCACAUAGAAGGAUACUCUCUCAGCCUAGACACAUGGGGGAGGGCCUAGGCCCUGACCCAAAUGAUAUGACAGACUUUGAAUAUCCCCCAUGGAAGGUCUCACCCUCCCUGGGGAGCAAAAAGGGAAUAGGAUAGACAGUUGGUGGGAUACAGCGGAGGAAGGGAGGGAGGGAGAGGGACCUGGGAUUGACAUGUAAAACAAGCUUGUUUCUAAUUUAAAUUAAAAAAAAAGAAAAAAAAAAGAAUGUUGAGAGCAGUGCAGAAGAUGGAGGCCUGACUUGUGAAGUUUCACAGGGAAGUUUAAAA
rnacentral:lncRNA from 1 species